rnacentral:rRNA from 1 species
AUUUCCGGUUGAUCCUGCCAGAGGAAUUCGGUUCGGGUCAGGCCGUUGGUUUUGGCGAUACGGCGGCCGAAGGCGUCGUAUUCGUAGUGCCAGGUGCUGCCAUCCGGUGUGGUGACGCUCGUGAGUCGGUGCUCGCAGUCGUAGCUAUACCGGGUGGCCAGUUUCUGGCCUUUACCUCGACGUUCCUCAAUCAGGUUGCCGAAUUCGUCGUACUCGUAGUGGCAGUCGCCGUGCAUGGUGAGGCGGUUGCCACGUACAUUGGCAGAUUGACUGCUCGAAGCCCCCUGGUUUUGCUCCAGGAGGUUGCCAGCCGGGUCAUGUAUGAGUUGCUCAUAGAGAUCGCCCCGCACGCCCACCAAACGAUCCAUUGGGUCGUAGACGUAUUGUCUGAGCCCUUUGCGGCUGUCAUGGAUGCUUUUGAGGUUGCCGUUGGGAUCAUACUGGUAGUCGCGCUGGGCGCUGAUAUCCUUGAGGCGGCCCUGAUGAAUCCGGUGCUGGGUCAGACGGCCUUCGUCGUCAUAGACAUAGGCACUGAGCAGAUCACCCUGUUGCCGUUCGACUUCCUCGCCGGUGGACGCCAUUCGGUGGCGAGUCAGCGGUUGGCCAUUCAGGUCGAUGCCUGACAACAACCCGGCUGCAUCCCGAUGGUAAGCCAGCGCCUGGCCGUCCGGCAGCACCAUUUCGUUCAGACGAUCAAAUUCAUCAUAACGGUAACGGAGGCUGGCCCAGCCCUGAUGUUCGGUUUUCAACAAACCGAAUUCGUCGUACUCGAAAGCCAACGGCCAGUGGCCAUCAUCAACCCCGAUCAGCUUGCCGUCCGCGUUAUAGCCGUACUGAAUCUCGCGGCCAUCGGGUAGUGUCUUCUUCAGCAACUGACCGAGUUAAUCCCGCUCAUAGGUGGUGGUUUGCAGGACCUCACUAGAGGUGCCGUACUCAGCCUUCUCCGUCAGAUGGCCAUUCAGGUCAUACUGGUAAGCGGUUCGAUGGCCAUCAAAAGCAGUCUCAUGUUUGACCAAACCGUUCGGGUAAUAGUCGAUGCGGUAGGCUUCACCCCGCUCAUUUUCGAUGUGAGUCAGCAGGAACCGGUGAUGAUCAUAACGAUAACGAAGCUCGCUGCCGUCCGGGUUGAUGCGACGAGUAAGCAGGUGAAGGUUGUUGUCAUACUCGUAACGGGUUUCCCGCCCUUGCUCGUCAACGAAACGGGUGACCUUGUUGUACGCAUUGUACUGAUAAUGACGAGACCGGUUGCCUGAGAGGAUUUCCUCUAUAACUCGUCCCAGGCCAUCGUACCGGUAUCGGGUAAUGGCACCCCGGGCGUCCUUCUUGGCCAGAAGCUGGCCAAACUCAUCGUAGCGGUAUUGGUAGAACGCCCCGGUGGGAGUGGUUUCCUCAAUGAGCUGGCCUUGGCUGUUCCAGCCCCACUUGUGAGCACGACCGUCCGGCAGGAUCAACCGGAAAU